UACGUAGGGUGCGAGCGUUGCCCGGAUUUAUUGGGCGUAAAGGGCGCGUAGGCGGUCACGCACGUCCGUUGUGAAAUCGCUCGGCUCAACUGGGUGGGGUCAGCGGAUACGGCGUGGCUGGAGCAAGCUAGGGGGCAAUGGAAUUCCCGGUGUAGUGGUGGAAUGCGUAGAUAUCGGGAGGAACACCAGUGGCGAAGGCGGUUGCCUGGAGCUUUGCUGACGCUGAUGCGCGAAAGCGUGGGGAGCGAUCCGG
rnacentral:rRNA from 1 species